rnacentral:tRNA from 1 species
GGGCCUUUAGCUCAGUCGGUUAGAGCUGCGGACUCAUAAUCCGUAGGUCGCUGGUUCAAGUCCAGCAGGGCCCA